rnacentral:ncRNA from 1 species
UAUAAAUCGUUGAAAGGGAGAGUAUUCUGAACUUCUAUCGUGCAAGAGAGGGAAUGCCAAAGGCUGAGAGCAUUUCUAACGAAAGUACAGGAGAAAACCACCCUUGAGUGUUGGGCUGAAAUGAGUAAGCUCAGCCGUUCCCCGCGUUAAGGGAGAUCGAGUGAAAGGUUUUAUCGAGCCUUUCAAUUGGGUGGAACCACGGGAGUAAACUCUCGUCCCUACU